GACGAACGCUGGCGGCGUGCUUAACACAUGCAAGUCGAACGGUAAGGCCCCAGCUUGCUGGGGUACACGAGUGGCGAACGGGUGAGUAACACGUGGGUGACCUGCCCCGCACUUCGGGAUAAGCCUGGGAAACUGGGUCUAAUACCGGAUAGGACCGCACCGUGAGGGUGUGGUGGAAAGUUUUUCGGUGUGGGAUGGGCCCGCGGCCUAUCAGCUUGUUGGGGGGGUCAUGGCCUACCAAGGCGGCGACGGGUAGCCGGCCUGAGAGGGUGGACGGCCACAUUGGGACUGAGACACGGCCCAGACUCCUACGGGAGGCAGCAGUGGGGAAUAUUGCACAAUGGGCGGAAGCCUGAUGCAGCGACGCCGCGUGGGGGAUGACGGCCUUCGGGUUGUAAACUCCUUUCACCAUCGACGAAGGUUUUCUGACGGUAGAUGGAGAAGAAGCACCGGCUAACUACGUGCCAGCCGCCGCGGUAACAC
rnacentral:rRNA from 1 species